UACGUAGGGAGCAAGCGUUGUUCGGAUUUACUGGGCGUAAAGGGCGCGUAGGCGGCGCUGUAAGUCACUUGUGAAAUCUCUGGGCUUAACUCGGAACGGUCAAGUGAUACUGCAGUGCUAGAGUGCGGAAGGGGCAAUCGGAAUUCUUGGUGUAGCGGUGAAAUGCGUAGAUAUCUGGAGGAACACCGGUGGCGAAGGCGGCAUCCUGGACCGGUAUUGACGCUGAGGCGCGAAAGCCAGGGGAGCAAACGGG
rnacentral:rRNA from 1 species